GAAUGUUUUAGGUCUAAGCCUAACAAAUUAAAAAAAAAACUUAAAGAUUUUUCUUUACAACCGCUAAAAUAAGCAAAACCUUUUUAUUGCAAAAAUUCUGGAGAAUGGCUGUUGGUUAAUUUACUUCUAGCGCACAGUGAGAGAGGAACUAGACAGACAGACAGGCAGUAAACGUAACAUGGGAAAGUUCUAACAGGAAAAUGUAUUGUGUUUUUAAUGCCGCAGAGAAAUUAUUCACAGAAACUACAGAAUGGAUAAUGAACUGGAAAUGCCAUGAGAAUUGUUCCUUUUCAAGAUCUACUGCACUCGUCUUCUGAUACUACAAUAAAGGUCACAUUAAAUGGCAGCGAGACUAACGUUAAAAAACAGGUAGUGAAGG